GAACCACUGAUUUUCAGUGUUCUGUUCCACCAAAGUGAUUUUUCUGAUGAUGAAUAAAAUAAAAACUUUACCUUUUCUUGGCUCUACAUUUCCGAUGAUGUUUUAUCUAAGAGAAUGGCCUUAGCCUAGUUGCUAUGCUACUUUUAAUAAUGACUCCCUGCCUAUAUAAGGAAUGAAGAAAAGAAAAUCUGGUCAUUGGCUGUGGUUUAUAUUUUUCCUGGCUUAUUCAGCCCGAUAAGAAUAUAGGCAUGGCCUUCAAACAAACUCAUUCCAGUCCCAGUUGUUUUGAGUGGGACAUAAGUAGAGAGGAAAAGUUGUGUUUUUUCCUCUAUUUCCUUUCAAAAGCAAAGUUAGAUUGAAAUCCAAUCAUAUUGAAAUGUGGAAUUUGACUAUAGCUAAUGUUGUUUUUUUUGAGAAAGGGUCUUGCUCUGUUACCCAGGCUGGAGUGCAGUGGUGUGAUCUUGGCUUACUGUAGCCUUGACUUCCCAGGGUCAAACCAUCCUCCCAUCUCAGCUUCCUGAGUAGCUGGAACUCUAGGAAUGUGCCAACACACCCUGCUAAUUUUUGUAUUUUUUGUAGAGAGGGGGGUCUCCUCAUGUUACCCAGGCUGGUAUUGAACUCCUAAGCUUGAGCCAUCCGUCCACCGUGGCCUCCCGAAUUUCUGAGAUUACAGGUGUGAGCCACCAUGCCCCGCCCAUAGCUAACAUUGUAGUUGCUAGUUCUCCAUAUUAAAACAACAGCAACAGUAACCUCUACCCUUUUGAAUAAAAGAUAAUGAGACUGCUAUAAUUUCACGCCCUCAGAUGAUGACUUAGAUUUUCAAAAUGACAUUUGACUAUGCAUAUAGGGA